rnacentral:rRNA from 1 species
AGUCGAACGAUGAACCACUUCGGUGGGGAUUAGUGGCGAACGGGUGAGUAACACGUGGGUAAUCUGCCCUUCACUCUGGGACAAGCCCUGGAAACGGGGUCUAAUACCGGAUAUCACUUCCGCUCGCAUGGGUGGGGGUUGAAAGCUCCGGCGGUGAAGGAUGAGCCCGCGGCCUAUCAGCUUGUUGGUGAGGUAACGGCUCACCAAGGCGACGACGGGUAGCCGGCCUGAGAGGGCGACCGGCCACACUGGGACUGAGACACGGCCCAGACUCCUACGGGAGGCAGCAGUGGGGAAUAUUGCACAAUGGGCGAAAGCCUGAUGCAGCGACGCCGCGUGAGGGAUGACGGCCUUCGGGUUGUAAACCUCUUUCAGCAGGGAAGAAGCGAAAGUGACGGUACCUGCAGAAGAAGCGCCGGCUAACUACGUGCCAGCAGCCGCGGUAAUACGUAGGGCGCAAGCGUUGUCCGGAAUUAUUGGGCGUAAAGAGCUCGUAGGCGGCUUGUCACGUCGGGUGUGAAAGCCCGGGGCUUAACCCCGGGUCUGCAUUCGAUACGGGCUAGCUAGAGUGUGGUAGGGGAGAUCGGAAUUCCUGGUGUAGCGGUGAAAUGCGCAGAUAUCA